rnacentral:rRNA from 1 species
UACGUAGGGUGCAAGCGUUAAUCGGAAUUACUGGGCGUAAAGCGUGCGUAGACGGUUAUGUAAGUCAGGUGUGAAAGCCCCGGGCUCAACCUGGGAAUUGCAUUUGAGACUGCAUAGCUAGGGUGCGGAAGAGGGAAGCGGAAUUUCCGGUGUAGCGGUGAAAUGCGUAGAUAUCGGAAGGAACACCAGUGGCGAAAGCGGCUUCCUGGUCCAGCACCGACGUUCAGGCACGAAAGCGUGGGGAGCAAACAGG